AGUCACGGCCCCCUGGAGCCCUGCAGGUGAGCCAGCCGCAGCUCCACCAGGACUCCGGGAGCAUCCGGACCUGGGCUCCGGGCUCAGAAGCCAUGACAGUCUCAGAGCAAGCUCUAGUCCAAAGGCCUGCUGGACAGAGCUGCCCCUCUCGGAGGGAGGGCCUCUCCCGACCUGGAGCGAGGCCAGCUGUAAUCAGGAUGCCGAAGGACUGUGUGCUCGCAAUAGCACAGAGGUCAGCAAUGUGGAUGGACCUGGAGAUCAUCAAACUAAGGGAACUUCGAGAAAAAGAAGUCCCAUGUGAUAAGAGAAGUGGGAUCUAAAACUGGAUACAAGCGACAGAAGCGUGGCGUUAAACUCACUCCCACUGAGUCUUGGAGGAUGAGACAGUUGUAUGGCAUUGUUAACUCAAUGGAUACAAGUUGGAGCAAAUUCCGGAAGACGGUGAAGGACGGGGAAGCCUGGCGUGCUGCAGUCCCUGAGGUCUCAAAGGGUCGGACAUGACUUAGCGACUGAACGACAAUCCCUCAUCACACCAUUUAUACACCUACCAGGCUGCCUCUCUCCUCUUCCCUGUUUGUGGAAAUCCUGUCCAUCUUUGAAGCCCCGGGUUACACACAGCCUUGUCCACACAGCCCUCGGUGACUGCUACUUUUCAGGUAGCACUCUGCCCUUGAUGCUUACAGAGUUUCUGCUGAGGGUGGUGAAAGAGCUUUGAAAACAGCAGUGAUCCUUGUUCAACAUAGAGAAUGUACUUAAUGCAACUGACCUGUAUGCUUAAAAUGAUUUAACAUGGCAAAUUUUCUGGUAAAUAUAUUUGACACCAACACAUUUUUUAAAAUAAAAGAAGAGUUGGCAGGGUUUCCCUGGUGGCUCAGUGGUAAAGAGUCCGCCUGCCAAUGCAGGAGACACAGGUUUGAUCCCUGGUCCGGGAAGAUCCCACGUGCCAUAGGGCAGCUAAGCCCGUGAGCCACAGAUACUGAGCGCACACACCAUAGAACCCAGACUCCACCAAAAAAGUCACCACUGUGAGAAGCCCGUGCAUCACAGCAUAGAGUAACCUGCACUCACCGCAACCGGAGAACGCCUGCUCACAGCAAUGAAGACCCAGCACAGCCAACACUAAAUAAAUAAACCGAUAUUUUUAAAAAACAAGAGAGAGAGAAAGCUACAUAGAGUUGUGCUACCUCUGCACAGGGAUCUGAUUUCAAACCCUCCUCCUCUUCUGGGAUUCACCAUCUGUACGUAGGAAAUGGCAACCCACUUCAGUACUCUUGCCUGGGACAGAGGAGCCUGGCGGCUUAGAGUCCAUGAGGUCGUAAAGAGUCGGACAGGACUGAGCGACUGAGCUCGCACCAGGACAGCACUGCCUGCACCCUCGUCUGCCCCCUGCCCCCGACACUGGUCUGGGGCUGCCGUUUUCUGACCCAUCUCUAGAAAAGCAUGAGUAUUGAGGUGAUGUACAAGGCAGUGCUUGGCACACUGUAGAUGCUCAAAAUGUGUCUGUGAAAUACAGAGAAUUCCAGCUCCCUGUGAGACGGACAAAGAAGUGUGAAGAGGGGAUGGUGAGGAGGAAAGAAAAUGGCAUCCCAGAUACUGAAGUUUACAUUCAGCUUUCAAAGAGAGACACAUUUAAAAGAGAGCAUGUAUGGCCCUUAUGUACUUCCAGCCUCUUGGAAUAUCUCUGUGGUUUUAUUUAGAUGAUGCUAAACCUUCAACUGGAUCAGGAAGCUGAUUUUCAGGGAUCUGUAUGAUUGAAUUUAAGAGUGAGCUGCCUGCAAAUCAGACAUGUCCUUGAAUAUUUAAACCUCCUAAGUGAUAAAGGUCCUCCUGAAAAGCACAAAUGAAAAAUGAAAAGAGAGCCUUUCGUGUGAGUAUGAAAAUAGACACACAUCCUUCUGCAUAAGUGACGUUUGGUUAGAUUUCAUGUGGUGUAGAUUUCAUUACUUUGCUUGAUUUUCCUUUAUUUUGUUUGAUUUGGUUUAUCUGGCCACUCUGCACAGCAUGCAGGAUCUUAGUUUCCUGACCAGGGAUCAAAACCAUGCCCCCAGAAGUGGAAGCGCAGAGUCUUAACCACUGGACCACCAGGGAAGUCUCGAUGGUCCUUUAUUAUGGUUUCUCUGUUCUACUUGGAAUAUACUCCGCAGAAACGUUGCACAACUGGCCCUAAAGAUGACUUGCUAAGAGGCAGCUUUUGUAGGUAGGUAGAUUCUAUUAGCAUCACGUCUUUAAUUACACAACAUAUUAUAUACUUCACACAUGUAAUUAUUCAUUUAUGGCAUUAUGCCAUCCUAUAGAUAAACAAAGACUUUGAGAACAUUUACUAGCUUUUCUGGGAGUGUCCCCAAAAGGGUGUAAUUUCCAUUCUAACCAAUAACUAAGAUGGAAACAACCCCAGGAGAAGAUCAUUAACCUGUUGGAGUAAAAGAAGUUCAGGAAUUCCCCUCAUUAAUUUUUUUUGUCUUUCAGUGUAAAAUUGCAGAAAUGUUGAUCACACUCACAUGAACAAAGGACAGUCCUGUGUUGGAAAAACAAAUAUAAACAAUAAAGGAUACAAUCCUGUAUUCAAGGAGCUCAUAAGGUAGCAUGGGAGACUGGCAUUUAUGUAGGUCAUUAAAAUAAAGUCUGAUAAAGACACAAAAAGAAGAGAGGGGUUGAAGGAUGGUGAUGGUCUUCAUGGGGGUUGGAAAAAUCAAAACCAAAUGCUGAAGAAUGAAUAGGCAUUUUCAUGGCUUACAAAAGUCAAGCAAACACUCCAGAAAGAGCAAAAAGCAUGUGCAAAGAAACCCAAAACAGAAUGAGGAGUAGUGGGCUUGGGACAACUCUGUAGAUCUAUCUUGCUAUGAAGGUGAGUGCGAAUUCAUGGCAGGUGAGACUGAAAAUACACGAUAGGGCCAGGGCUUUCUAUAUUUUAUCAUCAAACGUAAUAACAGGUAAUUCAUCUUCAUCUUUACAUACACAACGUUAAGUUGAGUUAUUGGAUUGUAAAAGACAAUAGCGUUCGAAUGAGCGGUCCCAAGAGGAACUGAACUGAGACUUUUAAUGCUCAGGGAUACUCUUCAGAGAACCAGUAGUAUCAAAAUAAGAGUCUCUCAGGACUCCCCCUGGUGGUCCAGUGGCUAAGACUCCCUGCUUUCAAUGCAGAGGAACCGGGUUCGAUCCCUGCUCAGGGAACUAGAUUCCGCAUGCCGCAACUAAAAGUUCACCAGCUGCAACCAAAAAUCCUGCAGGCCACAACAAAGACCAAAGAUCCUGCGGGCCCCAACUAAGACCUGGCACCACCAAAUAAAUUAAUUAAUAAUUGAUCAU